GGAAGUCGCUCACGAGAGGCUCAGAACGCUUUAAGGUGUCAGUAAACGUCCCAGAAACACCCAGAGAGAUGGGAGUGAGUGAGAAACGUGGGUGGUUUUCAGCAUUUAUCACAGCUGUCCUCUUCACUGAAAGUCUGCUGAUGUGUGCAAAGGCAGAAGAUGGAGAAGAUUUCAAUAUUCGGUACGCUCUGAUCGGAGCCGGGCUCGGCCUGUUCCUGGUGGCCGUGUUUAUUCUCCUGAUGAUCUGCGUCGUCAGGAAGAGAGCGACUCGGUCACAUUAGAGCAGCUUUCAACGCGUUUCUACCUCCGUCCUCGGAGCAACGAGACAACAAAAGGCUUGAAGGAAGCCUUCAGAGCCGCAGCCUCGGCCGCUCGCUCCCGGACUCCUGAGCCAAUCGGAGCGUCCCAUGACGGCGGUGUCGAGUGCCGUGCGGUGUUAAAGGUCAGUCGCGGUGACUUGCGGGAUCCUGCAAGAAGUGGCAUCCGGGAGAAAGGUCAAGCGGGCCGCCCGCCGUCUUCUCACGUUCUGUCGCUCAGAAGCAACUCGACCUGGUUUACUGACACGCAUCGUCACGGCCGCUCGCCGACAAAAGCCUCUUUCACGAUCCGCGCUCAGCUGUUUGGCUUCUGAAGCUCAAUAAAAGGCGCUGCGGCUUUUCUGGAUCUAUUUGUGUUUUCAUU